rnacentral:rRNA from 1 species
AUUAGGAAUCUUGCACAAUGGGGGAAACCCUGAUGCAGCGACGUCGCGUGGAGGAUGAAAUCUUUCGGGAUGUAAACUCCUUUUCUCAGGGAAGAAAAAAAUGACGGUACCUGAGGAAUAAGCCCCGGCUAACUACGUGCCAGCAGCCGCGGUAAUACGUAGGGGGCGAGCGUUGUCCGAAGUUACUGGUCGUAAAGAGCGCGUAGGCGGGCUCCUAAGUGAGGGGUGAAAGGUUCGGGCUCAACCCGGAGAGUGCCUUUCAUACUGGGAGCCUUGAGUGCGGGAGAGGCAAGUGGAAUGGUCGGUGUAGCGGUGAAAUGCGUAGAUAUCGAUCGGAACACCCGUGGCGAAGGCGGCUUGCUGGCUCGCAACUGACGCUGAGGCGCGAAAGCGUGGGGAGCAAACAG